GAGGCCCAAAUCUCCUCAGCCAGCUUUCCUCCAACCUCAGCCCCGGCAUAUUAGGGUAUUUGCUCGUUUUGUGGGAUUUUCACUCCUGGAUCAGCUCAAAAUCUGAAGAGAAGAGGUAUGGGGGGUGAACAGUCCUGAGCAGCAUUUGGUCAAGGUCUCUCCAGGACCUGAACCAUCUGAGUGGCUUGAAAAGGACAUCGGAAAGCUGCAUGAGGACCUGAGAGGUGUUGGGAAAUAGAGUUUGCGUUGGUGGGAGCCCCAACACAAUGAAAGAGUUUGCACUCCUUAUGCACAAGGAGCUCGACUUGGAGGAGAGUGGAGAGGACAGAAAGAACGUCUGAGCCGGGACAGACAGAUCUUGCAGGGACAGAACUUGUCUCAUGCCCUCCAUCAGUCUACGUACUCAAUAGUUGCCCUUGAGGUACUCAUCAUAAGCUAGCAGAAAAAAAGAUGGGAAAUUCUGAAUACAGGAGUUCUUUCUCCUUACCUGCUUUGCAUUUUCACACAAUUAAAUUAAGUGCCCAGGUGUGACAUUUAUUGUUGGAAAAAGUCCUAGGGGGAGAACACAGCAUUCCUUGUCACUUUACUUUAUUAGCUACCACUUAGCUAUUCAAGUUAGGG